UCUAAGGAUGAUCCCUCAGUAUUGCGGCUUCGGCCGUGAUCUAUCGGAUCUCUUCAGAAACAUCAGCCGGACACAGUCGGAAACGUCGUGAUCUGGCAUUUGCGGGACACCGCCGUCUUCGUUUCUCUUUCUUCGCGGACAAGCUUGACGCCCAGGUUGCGGUCCUCGUGAGGGUCUUCCCUCGCUUGAGGCUGCGUUCCGGUUUCGGGCCUGUAGCUCAGGUGGUUAGAGCGCACCCCUGAUAAGGGUGAGGUCGGACGUUCGAGUCGUCCCAGGCCCACCACCAUCAGACAGUGGUUUCUUGCCUGCGCCUCAUGUCCGAAGCUUCGCGAACUCUCGCCUGUGGCAUCCUGUGAUGGGGCCAUAGCUCAGUUGGGAGAGCGCGUGCUUUGCAAGCAUGAGGUCGUCGGUUCGAUCCCGUCUGGCUCCACCAUUUUCCUUAAGUCUUUGGAAGAUGAUGGCAGGGUGGUUAGCGCUCAGCAUUGACGUGUUCUGACUUAAGAUGUCGGAAGCGUUUUGUCCGCGAAUAUCUGUUUCGCAUGUUCCACGCAUGCCGGUCUCCGGCGGAACAUGCACGGCUGUAUGACAUCGUGAAUAGGGCAUU
rnacentral:tRNA from 1 species